CAAACUGAAGAUGGCGACCGGCACACGGGUGAGUAACACGUAUCCAACCUGCCGAUAACUCCGGAAUAGCCUUUCGAAAGAAAGAUUAAUACCGGAUAGUAUACGAAUAUCGCAUGAUAUUUUUAUUAAAGAAUUUCGGUUAUCGAUGGGGAUGCGUUCCAUUAGUUUGUUGGCGGGGUAACGGCCCACCAAGACUACGAUGGAUAGGGGUUCUGAGAGGAAGGUCCCCCACAUUGGAACUGAGACACGGUCCAA
rnacentral:rRNA from 1 species